AUGGGAUGGAGCUGGAUCUUCCUCUUCCUCCUGUCAGUAACUACAGGUGUCCACUCCCAGGUCCAGCUGCAACAAUCUGGCCCUGAGUUGAGGAGGCCUGGUUCCUCUGUGAAGUUGUCCUGCAAGGCUUCUGGCUACACCUUCACUGAUGAAUAUAUGAACUGGGUGAAGCAGAGGCCUGGUCAGAGCCUAGAGUGGGUUGGAAGAAUUGAUCCUGAAAAUAAUGAUACUAAAUACAAUCAGAAGUUCAAGGACAAGGCCAGACUGACUGCAGACACAUCCUCCAGUACAGUCUACAUGGAGCUCAGCAGCCUGAAACCUGAGGACUCUUUGGUCUAUUACUGUAGAGUGUCACAGUGUUUCAACCCCAUCCUGAGUGUGUCAGAAAUCCCUGAGAAGAGGAAGCUGCCCUGGGAUUGA